AUGCCAUAGGUGUGCCAAGGGGGGUGCCUAACGAAUUUAAAGCAAGAGAUGAAGUGGCUGCAGGGUUUGAGUCCCUAAUCCCAAUGAUAACUGCUAACAAGAAUGUCAAUUGGAUUAACUAUAUCUAUUAUAAUCAGCAACGCUUUGUCAACUACACAAGGGAUGCCCUACAGGGCCUGGCAGAGCAACUACAAGCCACUACCCAAAUGACAUUUCAGAACAGAAUGGCCCUAGAUAUGAUUCUAGCCGAAAAAGGGGGAGUAUGUAAAAUCCUCCCUGAGACCAUGACAUGCUGCACAUACAUUCCAGACAACACGGGGCCCAAUGGUAAAGUGACUAUGGCCAUAGAAAAGCUAGAUAGUCUUGCAGACGAAUUAAAGAAGAAUUCGGGAGUCACUGACAUAUGGGACAAAUGGUUUGGGUGGAUGAAUGGCUGGCAAAAGACCCUCUUUCAGGUAGGGACAGCUGUUCUCAUGGUAUUCAUUAUCUUUUUGUUCUCAGCCUGUUGUAUACUCCCCUGUAUACAGAAAUAUCUGCAGAAAGCGGUAGAUAAGACUGUAG